UGACAUUUGAUUCAUUCAUGGGCCUUACCAGGAGCGGUCAAAAAGAAAUAAAAUGUAGAGCAAAGAUGCAUACAUGCAUCGCUACUGGCAGCCUUGGCUUGUUCUAAAAAAAUUAAUUACUAGCAAGUAUCUUCACCAAAAUGUCCACACAUAAUAUAAAAUAAUAAUAUACUUUAAUCACUUAUACUAAUCGGGUGACCCAUCGGGCAACCCAUGGGUAGAACAUUAUGCCCAUACCCUACCCAUGACUAAUCGGGUUACCCAUCGGGCUUACCCAUGAAUGAAUAUGGCGACCCAUACCCUGCCCAUUCGGAUCGGGUGUCCAUGGGCGCGGCCGCCCAUGGGUCGAAUUGCCGGGUUGACACAGGAGGAUUGCAUUAAACCAGAAAAAAAUCAUUCUUUGCCACGGAUACGGAGAACAAUUCUGAAGAAAUACAAAAUAAUUUUUUGAGUAAUAAUGAUGUACUCUCAUUCAACAUUCUGGUGAGCAAACUGCAAACACUUGUAUUCUGUAGCGCAUGUGGCUGCUGGCCCCGAGGCUUCAUUCACCUAACAUAGAACAACACAUCCAGUUCAAGAUUAACUAUCGAUGCAGGCCUUAAUAAACAAGAGCAACAAUACACACAUGUACUGUUUGCAUGUCUAACCACAAACCAAGACUAACAUGUAUUGUUUGCUUAGUCUGGGAUGGACUGCCAAAAUUUUACAAAGGCACUUAACUACGUUGAGUGCACACAUGAUUUUUGGGUAUUUCCUCAAGAUUGUGCACAAUAAAGCAUACAGAUUGAAAAGAACAGAAAAGUUGAACUGAAAACCAAAAUAAAUGGCCCCGGGUUCCCCAUAUAGCAACUAAAACGUCAGUACAACUACACCUUUUAUUGCUGCACUACUACUUAUACAAGGUAAAUCCAUAGUAAAAAAAUGAACUAACAUACUUGUACUUAAUAUCUUUGUGCAUGUCCAUGGCGGCAGUGCACAACGGUCGAGCAUGUAGCUCCUGUGCUGGAAGCAAUUGCCCUUAGUGGUGGCCGCUAUCGUAGUUUGCGAGUGAACUAGGAACAAAAUAAAAUAGCUACAAAAAUUGAAGAAUGAAGUACGCGGGGUCAGGUUGGACUAAAGGAGCAAAGCACUAGUGAUAAUAAUAAUAAGGCAGUCGAGCAUCUAGUUUUGGCGCACCCAAUAAUAGUUGAACUGAGAUGGUCAACUAGUUGUAGAGUUGAGAUGAUCAACAACUCUGUACUGAUCAUCAAACCGAUAUUGCAGCAGAUUGUACUGUCUCUAUGGUUCAUUAUGUAUUGUUGAGAUAAAUACACAUUGAACUUCUACACCAAAAGCAAAUUCACUAAUAAAUAACACAAUCUUUUGAGCAAUAUAACAAGUGUUGCAUGAAAUACAUCAAAUGCUGAGAGCAAUCUAACAAGUGUCACAUGGAAAUGGAAGAAAGUGCAAGAAGUACUAAAGCAAGGAAUACGUUUGAAUUAACCAGGAAGACGACAUCACACAACAAUCGUAGUAAUUGAACUGCUAGUCUUUUUGUCGAAUCAGGCACUGAAGAACUGUUGUUGGCCAUAUAGAAAAUAUACCAAAGGAGAAAUCGGACAUGUGGCGGCGCCGGUGCAGCACGGCGUCCUCGGCAGAGAAGCAGCACUCCAGCACCUCAACACGCGAACACCCGUCGGCUCCGGCGACUUUCGCCCACAGGAUCUGGUCACAUCAAGUGUAAAAGUUAGAGGAAGGUCUAGGUCGUCCUGGUUACAAAAAUAUCACACAACCAAGUACUGAUCAAAAUCAAUCAUUGUUAGGCAUUAGGAGAAAAGGCGACACUUGAGUACUAUGACGUUGGUGUCAACAAUGUUACCCUACUGGAUCUAGCGCAUGGCUUCUCCAGGGGCGCGAGGCGUCGGGGGAUGCCAAAGUUAACAAAGGUAAUUCCUAAAUAUGUAUCAAAACAGGAGGGAAGAAAAAUGGAACUUUUAGCUCAAAACUGAUCUUGAAUAGUAAUCUCAAAUAGUAUUGCAGAAAGUUUUGGUCCGUCCUGUAACUUAUUAGGUGGUAAGUUGGUAAGAAGACUAGUAUUCACGUCCGUUGGAAAAAAAAUCCAAGUUGGCAUGGUUUUUGUUGAACUGAGCCUUUUGUGCUGAAACUGAAAAAUGCUUGGAAGCCUUGUGCUGAAUAAAACAAUCAGUACAUGUUUUUCCUUUCUUUCUAUUCCUAUUGACUUCUCUGACUAAAAACUCUGACUCACAUCAACUAAAAUAAGAUAAUUGAACUAGACUAAAAUAAGUAACUCAAACACACAGCACCGUUUUUUGAAAAAACAGUAAGUUUGACUAUAUAAACCUUCUUGUAUUUCUAAUUUUAGUUCAAUUGAACUUUCAUAGCGGGAUUUAUUUUAUUCAUUUUUCUAUAUAUUUCCUAUUUACAAUUGCACACUGUGAACAUCCAGAGAGCAAAACUAGAGAAAUACAUAAACAUGAAAAAGUUGUACACCUUGUCAUUUGAAUAAAUUACAUUCUUGGAUACCUUGGUUGUUGCAAAGGCAAGUUUGUAGCAGUAACACAAAAUAACUAGUACUAUAGUUACGCAUGGGAGGCAUCUCUUUUUCACUGGAUCGUCACAUGGCAUUGAUCUCUUCAUCUAGUCUAAUCUUUUUGUUUUGGCCUUGCUUGCUCCUGGAUGUGCCCAUAUUCUUCUCUAUCUCCUACAAUACUGCUAUGAAAAUGAAGUCUCAAUUAUAUCAUGCUGCAGAUUUCUCCUACGAUGAAAAGCACACGCACCACCACACUAGGUUCGGUACCAGCCUGCCUCUUCUCGCCUUGCUUAGCCUAUUUGUCACGACAAGCGAGCACCAAUGGCGAGCGGCAAGGAGCAGAACUUAUAGGCUCGGAAACGGCAAGGAGCAACUCUCACCCCUGCCAUUUCAUCAAACAGGUGUUGGGCACCUUGACUUCUGAACUUUCAUGAUCUUUCAAGAUGAGCAAGUGUAAUUUUUCAUGGAACCAAACUUCUGAACUUUUUCCAAGACACUCUUUGAACAUGUUGCGGUGUGCACCAGUGCCGGCAAAAGCUCGCUCGUGAAGGAGCAUGGCAGGAGGUGCUCGGACGGAUAAGGGAGGAAGAGUUGUACUGGUGUGAGCCCCUUACCUGGCUGGGCCUGUGUGUAGAACUGAGCUUUUUUGUCUUGCAGUUCGUCCAACCCCCCUCGUGCUGCAGUAUAGAGAGAAACAAAUUAGCGACAGAAA
rnacentral:lncRNA from 1 species